rnacentral:misc_RNA from 1 species
CCUUGGCAAACUCAUCACAUAAGUUUUCCAAUAAAAUCCGUGCUUUCCUCUCCCUCUCAAGUUCUUUCAAAGCAUUAGAGAAAGCAGAUUUCACUUCAGAAAACUCACGAGCAAGCUUCCGGUGCAAGCUCUCUGAGUGCUUCCUUAACUUCCUCUCAUCUUCUAGCUCUUCUUGUGCUGACUUAAUGACAGCUUUGAUUCUAUAAUGCUCUUUAUUUUUCCUGACAACUUUAUCCUCUGUAACUUGCUCCAUUAAGUCAUCUAUUUCCUGCCUGUUAGUUUGUUUCUCUUUGAGCAACUCCUUUAUUUGUGAACGAGAAUGAUCCAGCUCCAUUUUUAAAGAUUUUAACAAUGACAAAUUGCACGCUUGCUGUUCUUCAAGACUCCAAAUCCGGUUGAUUACCGUGAGUAAUUUUGUUGAUGUCUUAAGGCCAUAACUUGACUCAUCCAUCCUGCACUUAAAAUCCAAGAAACUGGAAGACUGCAUACCCAAAGGUUUAUAAGGCGCUACCUCCAUUGAGCUAGCACAACUUGCAGAAGAUAGGGACCGUAUAGCACGACUGUUUCUAUCAGCUGAUACAUGGUGUUGCAACAAUGAUUGUGCAACAUGUCUCCUUGAGGGACUUGCAAUUGCUGNNGCUGAUCAAGUAAGUUAUUAGGAGGGUCGACCAAAUGAGUGCGGAGCUCAAAAGCCUUGUUUGUCUUGUGGUGGCCACGGCGACCUCGUCUAGAGCCAAUAUUUUUGCUCAUUUUGGAAAGUGAAAGUUGGAGCUCCGGCUGAAUCUCCCAAAGGUUGGCACAUAGCU